AAUCCUGGGUUUGCACCCCUGAUAUUUCUCGGCGCGUAAUAAAGCCUACAAGACGCUAGCGUUUUAAUCCUUUCUUUCUGUUGUAAUGGUGAUUACUGAAAAAUGCAACCUAGCCAUUUAAUCAUUCCAUCUUGCUCGUUUUCUGGGAAGGGGGGGGGCAGUAAAUAGUCUGCUAUACCCGCCUCUUUCCCUGAAGAAAUUUGUGCGCCAGAUAUUUAGAAAGCUGCAAACAUCUCUCACCUCCUAUUAAAAUAUCCUUGCUGUGGACUUCCCCUCAGCCGCCCGGUAGCUAUUCAGGUAUGCGCGCACGGAGAAAUAUUUCGGUGGGAAUAGGCCAACUGACGCUGGGUGCGGAUCUGGCCCUGAAAGAUUAAAAUGGCCUAUUUCAGCAAGGACCACCUACUUUACAGACAUAACAAUGGGACUGUUUGUAUGACUAAGGGAUCAACUCUGCUGUCAGGUCAGAUCUGGACCAAAAUCACAAGCAAGCAAGACUUAACAAUGCCUCUGAAUGUUCACUGCAGAAAAGAAAAGAAAAAGUAACACACAGAACCAAUCAAAGGGGGGAAAGGGAUACGAAAUACCUCCUGAAUCUUCUAGCACUGGUCAGAUAGUUACACCAGGAUGACUGCUAGUGAUGGACAGAUCCUUAUUUCAGGCAACAGAGCUAAAUGAAGGGGGCCUGGCAGCCCAGGGCUCCCCGGCAGCUGCACCCGAGUGAGAUGAAAUCCGCGGCAGCGCGAGCCGGGCAGGCAGGCCGGCCUCAUCAGAAGUCCCCCCGUCUUUGAUCAGCUCCACCAGGCUGAGCAGGGAGCCCGUUUGCAGGGCCAGCCGAGGGAACGCCGCGUAAUUAGAUUGACUGGCUUCAUUAGGGGGAGAGUUGGCUGCUAAAUAGAAGCUGCCGCGUCUCCGGGGCGCUGGGAUGGGGAGCGGCGGGCUCGCAGGGGGUCCCCGGCACAAAGCGCGCCCCGCAUCCCGGGCGAGCCGGCAGCCCCCGGGCCUUUCUUCUCGCUUCCUUUGCGGCCAGGCAGGGGCAGGGGCAGGGGCCGCUUGCAAAGUUAUUUCUCUGACUUCAUUAGCGAGGCGGCUCUUCCCCCACGCCCAGGUAAUGCAAUUAGCCAAGAAACCCCGGAAUGCUCCGCUCCGCUGCGCCGAGAGGUCACUCCCGGGCGGGUAUCUGCGGCUGGAGCAAUCCGGCCUGUCUGGCUCCCCACGGGGACCGGAGAGCGGUACGGGCCCGCAGACAGAGCGAAAUACCGGUAGUGAGGAUGAAGAGUGACCGCGCUGGCCCUGGGUACAAACACACCUGGACACAACCAGCCACCUGUACAGCACACCCCUGUGUGCGUCUCCAGCUAGCUGGGUGUAGGUCAGAAGGAUCAAUAGGUCUAUAAAUAGGUACGUAGAUGUGGGUGUAGGGUGUGUCUAGAUCGAUCUACACACAGCUACAGCUGUACAGAUACACGUGUGUGUGCCCGUCUAUCUCGCCGUGUGCUGCGAAGUGUGUUCUAUAGAUAUUCUAUAGACAUUUAUCCUUUUCUCUGUUGGGUGUGUGGAUGUGGGUGAACGGUUUGUGUAGCUCGCGGGGCGCACACACGUGUGUAUCUCUAUGUCUGCACCUCUCUCUCUAACACAAUACUAAUGAAAUAGGAUACACUCUGUUGUACAGCUCUCUCGCUCUCUCUCUGUGUGUGAGCGAUCCUAAACUGGCAAGUAGUGUCUUAUUAUCAACGCUCAGGAGAGGAAAGCUCAACCCCCGUUGAAUCAGCCAUGAACUGAAUGGGAAGGUUGGGAUUGGGUUUUUUGUUUUUAAAUGCACAAAUAAUUUUACACGUAGUGACCAGGAGACAGGCCAGAACGAAGGGCCCAGACACCAACUCCUGGUCUUGACUCACUAUGCCCACAUUUCCGGUGUUAUCCUUUCCUCCUCCGCCCAGGUAAGACAAGCUACAACCAGGAUCUGUGCAUCUGUCUCUCUUUCGAGCUCUGCUUGGACGGCUGCGCGGGGCGGUGCUGCCAGUGUACCCCCAAAACAGAGCACCGCUCCUGUUUGACUCUUGUCUACACGCAAAACGGGGCUUGGCGUGGAGGUGAGCCGCCGGCGCGGCAGGGAUCGCGUGGCAGAGGGAACGAGGACCAGGCUGGCGAGAAUCCCCAGCGCAGUGUGCUCAUUUCCCGGGAAGUACUCGGAAUCACUUUACAAACUCAUAUUUUGAGCUCAUAAGAGGCGGCCAGCUGCAGGCGCUCAGGGAGCGCCACGGACACGAGUUAGUGGAUCGAUGCUUUGUCGGGGGCACGUUGCACCGCUUGUGAAAUGCAAAUCCCAGAAUUCCGAAUUCAGCUGCACCCCCAACGAGCGUGUGCCCCCAACGGCUGCUCCCCCCGUGGAAUGCUUUGCACACCUGCGUGUACUGUCUUCCUUCCCUUGUUCAUUUCUGGCCAGCGGUAAGGGCUGCUGCGUGCAGAGCCUUAUUGUGAGUUUGACACCGCUCAUGCCUUUGAUUCCUCCUCGCCCUCCUGUGUGUUUGGGGACGGGCCGGGGGGUUUUUUUAUGUUUACAAAUACAGGAUUGGGCAUCAAAAGGGGCUGCAGUGAACGACGCUCCCCGAGAAUGUCGAAGUAUCCAGCCCCACCAAGCUAACCGCAAGGCCGCAAUUGGCUGACCCCGUGCUAGCAAUUCCAGUCCUCAAUUAAAUAACUAUAUGAAGGACUUCUGAGUCGGAGUGGAUCUAGAAGAACAAUGCCUGCGAAGUCUUCCUUUCAUCCCUGCGAGUGAGACAGGGUCCACGCUAAGAAGGGCGGGGGGGGGCAAGAAAAUGUAAUUACUUGGGCGACGCUUUUCUUUUUUAAAACAAGGUUAUUAUUCCUACUUCGGAAUGCAGAGUCGACUGUCCUUGGUCCCUAAACUGCAUUACGUUAAAGGUCAGCCGCGUGUCACACACAAUCUACAGUUACUAAUUUAACGGCAAGGCACUGUAAUAAAAAUCCCCGAUCCUUCGCGGUGUCUUCAGCUCGGAAUUUUGCAUUUCUCUUGGCUUUUAAAUAACCACCACAAUACCUUUUGUGCACAGGAGAACCAAUUUUCGUGUGACUCCCCCUCAUUAGUCACCUGUUUGUCUCCUCUCUAGAAUCUCCUGCGGGGGAAAAAUCACACAGGACUUCAAUGGGGCUAUUUACAAAACACGAGGCUCUCAAUGAGGCUUUGUUGGAAGGGAAGUGUGAAUAGUGUCCUUUGGAUCUAGGCAAACUCUCUCCCGGGCCUGCUGUGAGGAGCCAUUGUUUGUGGCUGUUAAUAAAUGUGCAUUAGCAGCGCCUCACUCUACAAACCCACUGGUGUGGAGAUUUCGCCUGCCUAAUACAUAUUGUUCUUGAGGAACAACUGUUUCAUCUCAGUCGAGGUCCAACCUCUGGCUAGCAAACCACUGGCCAUGUCUUUCUGGGAUCACACUGCAAACUACUAGCCCAUAGCCACUCUUCAAACCACCUGGUGAAGAUCACAAUGCUAAAUGCAGUGUCUAAUUCAUAAAUUAUAACAGUUCAACAACAACAACCCAUCCUCACUAUCCCUAAGACACAUGAACCUCUUUGGUGAGCUAGAGAAGAUUUCCGGUCUCUGGUUUAGGGCAGGGAUUCCCAACUGAUCCAAAGUCCAUCCAAGUCAAUGGAAAGACGAUCUAGCUUGGAUUAGGUCCCCAGCUACCAGGUUUUGAAACCAGUGACUGAUUUCAUAGGCAUAUCCGUGGGAGGUGGCCCUGUCAACCUUCCCCCAUUUGGCCAGAGCCCUAGGUGUGCACAUUGGUUUGAAAAAAUAAAUAAAUAAAAUGAAGUCCAUGUUGUCUAAGCAGAUUCCACAUGUCCAGCCCUACUGGUGCUGUCAGCCCAUCCCAUAGGACACUGGGACAGAGAACCCUCCAAAUUCAUUAGUCUGAAGAACCACCUGCUGACUAAUUGCUCCCUCAAAAGCUACAAUUAUAUUUGUCCAGCAAGUGCUUUUAUGUGGAUACAUCUUGGACCAACGGUUUUACACACACCAAAAUUCCUUUCAUCUCCACCAGUUUCAUCUCCACUACCAUGACUGGAUAGUUUGGGAAUUUUUUUUUUUGUCAGUAAUCAUAAUUUAAUCACAUAAAACUCCAAGCCUUAAACAUUCAACUAUCUGCGCUGCUUAUCAUAUUUUUAAACAUAUCUCAGUCGGCUCUAAUUUUUAUAUGCUGAAAUCAUUCAUGCAUUUAAAAUUAUUAGACAGAUAAUCACUUCCUUGAAAUAAUUUCAGCACUCAUCUAUAAUAAAAAAGAUUUCUUUCAAAGGACCCUUAGUUAAAUGGGCUCAGUGCUACUUUCUGUAUCAUGUAGGUCAAUUUAAUUCUGCUCUAUACUCUCUAUACAGCUAAACAAUUGCUUUUCAUAAACUGGAGAGCACAGUGAAUGCAGCCUGUAAUAUCCAUCCAGAGAUGGCCUUGAACACUUUCAUUAAUAAAAGCUUGACAUCUGAAAUUCCACUUCUUUAUUCGUCCCUUAUCAAAGAGUUAGUCAAGAUUUCAGAAAAUUAAUGUCAUAUUAAUAAAUACUAAUAAUGGGGGGGGACCUAAGAAUGUCAGGUACAUCAUCCAUUUACCUUAAUACAGCUACACACGUACAAUGCAUGAACAGCAUUUCUAAGACAACAAUCUUAAAAGCUCAAGAAUAUCAUUCUUGGAAAGAUGCUGUUUGUAACUCUAGGUUUGUAGAUGCCAAAUCAUGGCUCUGAUUCUCCAAAUACUUACACAUGGACCUAGCUUUACUCAUGUGAGUAAACAAGCUGGUGUAUGCCUGUGUGUAAAGUUAAGAGUGGCUAAGCUGCCAGUGUGCUGAGACCACAGCCUAUCAUGGUGGCCAGUCCUGUCUCACUGUUUCAUUGUACUCCUCCAUCCGUCUGUCUGUCUCCAUCUGUUAUCUCUUGUCUUGUACUUAGGUUGUGUAAGCCCCUUGGGGUAGUGAGUAUCUUUUGUUCUAUGUUUGUACAGCUCCUAGCACAAUGGGGUCCUGAUCCGCGACUAGGGCUUGGAGGUGCUACCCCAAUACAAAGAAUAACGUGUGUAAGUUUUUGCAGGAUUGGGGCCUACCUGACUACACUCCAGAAGAGCAUCCUGUAAGAGACUAACCACCCUCAACUUCCACUGGCUUCAAUGAGAAGUUAAGAAUCUUGCAGUUCCGAGACAGUUACUGUUACACUCCCAGACAGGGUGGCACAAUAGAAUGAGGUAAUUAAGUCUCUCCUACCACAGAACGGGGCACCCACAAAGACACGUACAUGUGGGUUCGUUUGUCUUCUGACCUGCACGCACACCAGUCACUUCUGCUCCUCAGAUUUAAAGCAGCUGUUCUCCAUGGAUAUUGCACAAGUUUUGGAGACCGAAUUCCAGGCCCUUGGCUUCCCAGGCUUGUGAGUUAAUGGUGUUAACUGAAUAAAGUCCAGACCAUUGAAACAUACACUUGGUGUUUUAAAAGGCCAAUUGCACAACACUGAAAAUAAUUGUGAGCCAAAUCAGUUGGGAGGAAGAAAUUAAUCAAUGGAUGAUAAUUAGGAAUUGUUUAAGAAUAUUUUAUUAGAGGACCAAAAUACCACAACUGAGAAAGAAGGCCGUAUUGGUUUUAAAACUGACCUGGUUCAGAGAGGAAGUGAAGGCUGCUAUAAAAAAUAACAAAUGGAAGAAAGGGGAAGUUGGUAGUAAUAAACAUAUCAGAAGAUAGGAACUGUAGAAAACUGAUAAGGGACGCAAAGCCACAAGUAGGAAUCUAUGGCCAGCAGAGUUAAGGACAUUAAGAAGGAGUUUUCAAACGUAUAUUAGGAACAAAAAGAGUCUUAACAAUGGUAUUGGUUCAUUACUAGAUGGAAAUAGUAGAAUUAUCAAUACUAAUGCAGAAAAGACAAAAGUGUUCAGUAAA